AUCUUGGAUAAGUGCGCGCUCGCGUUUUCUUUAAUAGACCCUCGCGGUCUAUCACAGAAUCACUGAUCUACCAUGGCAACGAGCGGCGUACUUCUCCGUCGGAGCAGGAAAUCCUAGAAGCCUACGAAGUAGCCAAGGACCUAAUAAAAACACCGCCAGUUAUAAAACAAAGACAACGCGUAGCAACGUGUUACAGACCACCUGAAUACAUGGUCUGCAAAGCUCAGGAUGUACAGCAGGCAUAUAAUAUUACCCAUGCCAGGUAAAGGGCAUGGAUAGAAAUGACCUUUGGCCUCUUGAAGGCACACUUUCAGUGUCUUCAGCACUGAAGGAUCAACCCAGGCAGGACAUGGGACGUCACGGCGGUGUGUGCUGUCCUCCACAAUGUGGCCAUUAGUUAAUAUGCAUGCUUUUAAUUUAACUUAAAUAUGACCUGCAGUGGCCGAAGAAUUAGUGUCAUUUUGAAUAAAUUUGGCCUGUUAUGAUGUGCACGCUGUGACCUGCAGGGAGGCGACUGCAUCCAUUCAUAUAUGUCUGUUAAUUAGUUGUCGGGAGGUAUUAUGGUUAGUUUUCAUACAAACCUUUGUGAAUGAAUGUGUUGUAUAAAUUGCUCCAAUUCUGUGCAUUCCAUCAUGUGUGUGUUAGUCCCAAACACCAAUGUAUGUUAUCUUAGGUGUCGUGGUUCAAAACUUUUAGGAAUCACCAUUGUAGCGCUAUGUGUAGCUUCAGUUUUGAACGGAGCUAAUUGUUUAUUUGCUUUAUCCUUAUUUAAUAAAGGAACACCUUGUUACUCUUUGUGUAUUUAUAUGGGAUGUGUGUUUUUCAUAUUGUCUAUGGGAAAGUGUAAAUGAACUAAGGAUUGUAAAAUCAUUUAUCUAAAAUGAUUAAAUAAUGACUGG